rnacentral:rRNA from 1 species
AUUGAACGCUGGCGGCAUGCUUUACACAUGCAAGUCGAACGGUAACAGGCCUUCGGGUGCUGCCGAGUGGCGAACGGGUGAGUAAUGCAUCGGAACGUACCCAGAGGUGGGGGAUAACGCAGCGAAAGCUGUGCUAAUACCGCAUGUGAUCUGAGGAUGAAAGCGGGGGACCGAGCAGCAAUGUUUGGCCUCGCGCCCUUGGAGCGGCCGAUGUCGGAUUAGCUAGUUGGUGGGGUAAAGGCCUACCAAGGCGACGAUCCGUAGCUGGUCUGAGAGGACGACCAGCCACACUGGGACUGAGACACGGCCCAGACUCCUACGGGAGGCAGCAGUGGGGAAUUUUGGACAAAGGGCGCAAGCCUGAUCCAGCAAUGCCGCGUGCGGGAAGAAGGCCUUCGGGUUGUAAACCGCUUUUGGCAGGAACGAAACGGUGUCCGCUAAUACCGGGCGCUAAUGACGGUACCUGCAGAAUAAGCACCGGCUAACUACGUG